rnacentral:rRNA from 1 species
GGCGGACGGGUGAGUAAUGUAUAGUUAAUCUGCCCUUUAGAGGGGGAUAACAGUUGGAAACGACUGCUAAUACCCCAUACUCCUUUUAUCUUAAUGAUAAUUGGGAAACGUUUUUUCGCUAAAGGAUGAGACUAUAUGGUAUCAGGUAGUUGGUAGGGUAAGAGCCUACCAAGCCAAUGACGCCUAGCUGGUCUGAGAGGAUGAUCUGCCACACUGGAACUGAGACACGGUCCAG